GAUGAACGCUGGCGGCGUGCCUAAUACAUGCGAGUCGAGCGAACGGACGAGAAGCUUGCUUCUCUGAUGUUAGCGGCGGACGGGUGAGUAACACGUGGAUAACCUACCUAUAAGACUGGGAUAACUUCGGGAAACCGUAGCUAAUACCGGAUAAUAUUUUGAACCGCAUGGUUCAAAAGUGAAAGACGGUCUUGCUGUCACUUAUAGAUGGAUCCGCGCCGCAUUAGCUAGUUGGUAAGGUAACGGCUUACCAAGGCAACGAUGCAUAGCCGACCUGAGAGGGUGAUCGGCCACACUGGAACUGAGACACGGUCCAGACUCCUACGGGAGGCAGCAGUAGGGAAUCUUCCGCAAUGGGCGAAAGCCUGACGGAGCAACGCCGCGUGAGUGAUGAAGGUCUUCGGAUCGUAAAACUCUGUUAUUAGGGAAGAACAUAUGUGUAAGUAACUGUGCACAUCUUGACGGUACCUAAUCAGAAAGCCACGGCUAACUACGUG
rnacentral:rRNA from 1 species